AUUGAACGCUGGCGGCAGGCCUAACACAUGCAAGUCGAGCGAGCGGCUGACGGGUGAGUACUGCCUAGUAAUCUGCCUGGUAGUGGGGGAUAACGUCCGGAAACGUGCGCUAAUACCGCAUACCAUCGGAUGUGCCCCGAUGGGAUUAGCUAGUCGGUGGGGUAAAGGCUCACCUAGGCGACGAUCCCUAGCUGGUCUGAGCGGAUGACCAGCCAAAAUGGAACUGAGACACGGUCCAGACUCCUACGGGAGGCAGCAGGGGGGAAUAUGGCACAAUGGGCGCAAGCCUGAUGCAGCCAUGCCGCGUGUAUGAAGAAGGCCUUCGGGUUGGAAAAUACUUUCAGCGGGGAGGCGUUACCCGCAGAAGAAGAACCGGCUAAAUCCGUGCCAGCAGCCGCGGUAAUUC
rnacentral:rRNA from 1 species